rnacentral:rRNA from 1 species
CCUACGGGCGGCAGCAGUGGGGAAUAUUGGACAAUGGGCGAAAGCCUGAUCCAGCCAUGCCGCGUGUGUGAAGAAGGCCUUCGGGUUGUAAAGCACUUUCAGUGGGGAAGAAAGCCUUGGGGCUAAUACCCUCGAGGAAGGACAUCACCCACAGAAGAAGCACCGGCUAACUCCGUGCCAGCAGCCGCGGUAAUACGGAGGGUGCGAGCGUUAAUCGGAAUUACUGGGCGUAAAGCGCGCGUAGGCGGUCUGAUAAGCCGGUUGUGAAAGCCCCGGGCUCAACCUGGGAACGGCAUCCGGAACUGUCAGGCUAGAGUGCAGGAGAGGAAGGUAGAAUUCCCGGUGUAGUGGUGAAAUGCGUAGAGAUCGGGAGGAAUACCAGUGGCGAAGGCGGCCUUCUGGACUGACACUGACGCUGAGGUGCGAAAGCGUGGGUAGCAAACAGGAUUAGAUACCCCAGUAGUC